UUGAACCUAACCUAAAUCUAUUUGGAUUUAAUUGGGCUCCUAACUGUGAGUCUAAGAGGACUGGAUUAAGUCAAUUAGUUGACUAAAUUAUCUUCUUAUUAUCUCUACAUUAUCUCUUAGUGGUGUGUGGAAGUUUUGGAAAGAUUGCAUGGCGCCUUCCUCCCUUUUUGGCAGGACCAUAGGGCACCAACCUUGGAUAAUGUUUGAAGGGCCCGCCCCCUCCAAUGGAUGGACAUCGAAGGAG
rnacentral:lncRNA from 1 species